rnacentral:rRNA from 1 species
AGUGAACGCUGGCGGUAGGCCUAACACAUGCAAGUCGAACGGCAGCACAGUAAGAGCUUGCUCUUACGGGUGACGAGUGGCGGACGGGUGAGGAAUACAUCGGAAUCUACUUUUUCGUGGGGGAUAACGUAGGGAAACUUACGCUAAUACCGCAUACGACCUACGGGUGAAAGCAGGGGAUCUUCGGACCUUGCGCGAUUGAAUGAGCCGAUGUCGGAUUAGCUAGUUGGCGGGGUAAAGGCCCACCAAGGCGACGAUCCGUAGCUGGUCUGAGAGGAUGGUCAGCCACACUGGAACUGAGACAGGGUCCAGACUCCUACGGGAGGAAGCAGUGGGGAAUAUUGGACAAUGGGGGCAAGCCUGAUCCAGCAAUACCGCGUGGGUGAAGAAGGCCUUCGGGUUGGAAAGCCCUUUUGUUGGGAAAGAAAAGCAGCAGGUUAAUCCCCCGCUGUUCUGACGGUACCCAAAGAAUAAGCACCGGCUAACUUCGUG